CAUCCUUGCACCCCGAUAGAGCCGUUGCUUUGCUCUCCAUGCUCCUGGCCCUCUCCUUUGUGCUCCUCAUGGCUCUGAGCAUCGUGAACCUCCGCAGAGUCUCCAUGGCAUGGGAAGCGUUGGAAGAGGCUCGGAUGCGGGAAGAGAGCAUCCAUGCAGCGGCAUGGAACAACCUCUCGCAGGUCCAGCAUGCUCUUGACCAGCAGCUCUCCAAGGAGGCCAAGGCUGCUCGCAUCCAGCUCCUCAAUG